rnacentral:rRNA from 1 species
UAUACCGUGAACUGCGAAUGGCUCAUUAAAUCAGUUAUCGUUUAUUUGAUAGUACCUUACUACUUGGAUAACCGUGGUAAUUCUAGAGCUAAUACAUGCUAAAAACCCCAACUUCGGAAGGGGUGUAUUUAUUAGAUAAAAAACCAACGCCCUUCGGGGCUUCUUGGUGAUUCAUGAUAACUUUACGGAUCGCAUGGCCUUGCGCCGGCGACGGUUCAUUCAAAUUUCUGCCCUAUCAACUUUCGAUGGUAAGGUAUUGGCUUACCAUGGUUUCAACGGGUAACGGGGAAUUAGGGUUCGAUUCCGGAGAGGGAGCCUGAGAAACGGCUACCACAUCCAAGGAAGGCAGCAGGCGCGCAAAUUACCCAAUCCCGACACGGGGAGGUAGUGACAAUAAAUACUGAUACAGGGCUCUUUUGGGUCUUGUAAUUGGAAUGAGUACAAUUUAAACCUCUUAACGAGGAACAAUUGGAGGGCAAGUCUGGUGCCAGCAGCCGCGGUAAUUCCAGCUCCAAUAGCGUAUAUUAAAGUUGUUGCAGUUAAAAAGCUCGUAGUUGAAACUUGGGUCUGGCUGGCAGGUCCGCCUCACCGCGUGUACUUGUCCGGCCGGGCCUUCCUUCUGGAGAACCUCAUGCCCUUCACUGGGCGUGUUGGGGACCAGGACUUUUACUUUGAAAAAAUUAGAGUGUUCAAAGCAGGCCUUUGCUCGAAUACGUUAGCAUGGAAUAAUAGAAUAGGACGUGCGGUCCUAUUUUGUUGGUUUCUAGGACCGCCGUAAUGAUUAAUAGGGACAGUCGGGGGCAUCAGUAUUCAAUUGUCAGAGGUGAAAUUCUUGGAUUUAUUGAAGACUAACUACUGCGAAAGCAUUUGCCAAGGAUGUUUUCAUUAAUCAGUGAACGAAAGUUAGGGGAUCGAAGACGAUCAGAUACCGUCGUAGUCUUAACCGUAAACUUUGCCGACUAGGGAUCGGGCGAUGUUCUUUUUCUGACUCGCUC